CCUACGGGGGGCAGCAGUGGGGAAUAUUGCGCAAUGGGCGAAAGCCUGACGCAGCGACGCCGCGUGAGGGAUGAAGGUCUUCGGAUCGUAAACCUCUGUCAGCAGGGAAGAACGGUCACUGUGCUAAUCAGCAGUGAAUUGACGGUACCUGCAAAGGAAGCACCGGCUAACUCCGUGCCAGCAGCCGCGGUAAUACGGAGGGUGCGAGCGUUAAUCGGAAUUACUGGGCGUAAAGCGCUCGUAGGCGGUAUGUCAAGUCAAGGGUGAAAUCCCCGCGCUCAACGUGGGAACUGCCGUUGAAACUGGCAAACUGGAGUGUGUGAGAGGAUAGUGGAAUUCCAGGUGUAGGAGUGAAAGCCGUAGAUAUCUGGAGGAACAUCAGUGGCGAAGGCGACUAUCUGGCACAUAACUGACGCUGAGGAGCGAAAGCGUGGGUAGCAAACAGGAUUAGAUACCCCAGUAGUC
rnacentral:rRNA from 1 species